GACGAACGCUGGCGGCGUGCUUAACACAUGCAAGUCGAGCGGAGCGGCGAACGGGUGUGUAACGCGUGAGUAACUGCCCCCCUCUCUGGGAUAACAGUUGGAAACGGCUGCUAAUACCGGAUAGUGGGGGAUGACUCGCGUCCUAUCAGCUUGUUGGUGGGGUAGUGGCCUACCAAGGCGACGACGGGUAACCGGCCUGAGAGGGCAACCGGCCACAUUGGGCUAAGGGACUGCCCAAACGCCUACGGGAGGCAGCAGUAGGGAAUAUCGCACACUGGGGGAAACCGUGAUGCAGCAACGCCGCGAGCGGAAUGACGGCCUUCAGAAUGUAAACCGCUUUCAGCGAUGACGCGGUAGUGGCAGAAGAAGCACCGGCUAACUACGUGCCAGCAGCCGCGGUAAUAC
rnacentral:rRNA from 1 species